ensembl:rRNA 5S_rRNA 5S ribosomal RNA
GGCCACAGCCAUAUCACCUUGCAGCCCAAGACCGGUUACUUACUGAAGCUAAGCAGGUCGGAGCCUGGUCAGUACCUGGAUGGAAAACCACUUGGAAAAACUAGGUUGCUGUUGGAA